UACGUAGGUGGCAAGCGUUGUCCGGAAUUAUUGGGCGUAAAGCGCGCGCAGGCGGUUUCUUAAGUCUGAUGUGAAAGCCCACGGCUCAACCGUGGAGGGUCAUUGGAAACUGGGGAACUUGAGUGCAGAAGAGAAGAGCGGAAUUCCACGUGUAGCGGUGAAAUGCGUAGAGAUGUGGAGGAACACCAGUGGCGAAGGCGGCUCUUUGGUCUGUAGCUGACGCUGAGGCGCGAAAGCGUGGGGAGCAAACAGG
rnacentral:rRNA from 1 species